CAUAGUCUAGAGAUAGAUGAAGUCCUUCGGGACGCAUAGACAGGUGGUGCAUGGUUGUCGUCAGCUCGUGUCGUGAGAUGUUGGGUUAAGUCCCGCAACGAGCGCAACCCUUACGAUUAGUUGCUACGCAAGAGCACUCUAAUAGGACUGCCGUUGACAAAACGGAGGAAGGUGGGGAUGACGUCAAAUCAUCAUGCCCCUUAUGACCUGGGCGACACACGUACUACAAUGGCAAUGACAGAGGGAAGCAAGUCAGUGAUGAGGAGCAAACCCCUAAACAUUGUCCCAGUUCGGAUUGCAGGCUGCAACUCGCCUGCAUGAAGCCGGAAUUGCUAGUAAUCGCGGAUCAGCACGCCGCGGUGAAUACGUUCCCGGGCCUUGUACACACCGCCCGUCACACCAUGGGAGUCGGUAACACCCGAAGCCAAUAGUCUAACCGUAAGGAGGACGUUGUCGAAGGUGGGAUUGAUGACUGGGGUGAAGUCGUAACAAGGUAGCCGUAUCGGAA
rnacentral:rRNA from 1 species